rnacentral:rRNA from 1 species
GAUGAACGCUGGCGGCGUGCCUAAUACAUGCAAGUCGAGCGAACAGAUAAGGAGCUUGCUCCUUUGACGUUAGCGGCGGACGGGUGAGUAACACGUGGAUAACCUACCUAUAAGACUGGGAUAACUUCGGGAAACCGGAGCUAAUAUCGGAUAACAUAUUGAACCGCAUGGUUCAAUAGUGAAAGGCGGCUUUGCUGUCACUUAUAGAUGGAUCCGCGCCGUAUUAGCUAGUUGGUAAGGUAACGGCUUACCAAGGCAACGAUACGUAGCCGACCUGAGAGGGUGAUCGGCCACACUGGAACUGAGACACGGUCCAGACUCCUACGGGAGGCAGCAGUAGGGAAUCUUCCGCAAUGGGCGAAAGCCUGACGGAGCAACGCCGCGUGAGUGAUGAAGGUCUUCGGAUCGUAAAACUCUGUUAUCAGGGAAGAACAAAUGUGUAAGUAACUGUGCACAUCUUGACGGUACCUGAUCAGAAAGCCACGGCUAACUACGU